AAAAAAACAUCUUUUCUUGUUUUUGUAUUAUAUGUUUUUUUUUUUAAAUAGAACGAUAAAAGUGUCCUCUGAAGCAAUUUUGGUAUGGUUCAUACCUCCGCGCUUUUUAUAUUUAUAAAAGCAAUAAGUUAAUAUUAAAACGAUUCAGAUGGAAAGAAAGUAAAACUUCAAAGCUUACCAGUCCUGUACGCUGUUGAAACUUUCUUCGUUAGUAAUAUCAUACAUCAGAAUGAAGCCCAUAGCACCUCGAUAAUAGGCAGUCGUGAUGGUACGGUAGCGUUCCUGACCUGCAGUAUCCUAGAAAAAGAAAUAUAACCUUAUAACAAAUUAUCUUUUCGAGCAUGGAGUGUAUGUAGAUAGAUAUUCAUUAAAUCACUGGAAUUUAUUUAAAAAUAGCAUAGUAAGUAGUACAACAUUUCAAUUUUUCCUUUUCGAUAUAACGUAAAAAUAUUAUUCCCCUAACUUAACACCAAAAUGUGUUGCGUCAUUUAGACAUAUAUUGUCGAAAUCUAUGAAAUGUCUGAUUUAUUCAAUUACGCACCCAUAUUUGCAAUUUGACGCGCUUAUCGUGCCGGAAAACCGUUUUCACUUUGAAGUCGAUACCAACGGUAGACACAAAGGCUGAAGUGAAGGAAUCGUCUGCAUAUCGGAAGAGGAAACUGAAAAUGGGGCAAAUGAGAAAAAAUCAAUACAUUAUGUAUAAAAUACAAUUGGAAAACUUCACAAAUUUAUAACUCUAUGAAAUAUUAAUGGAAUAUCAAUAAAAUCUAAUUAGAAAGUGAAAUAAUUAAAUAAAUGGUAUGAACAUAAACAAUAAUAACGAAAAAAAAGAAGGAUGUAGAUUUUGCUGUAAAUAUAAGGUGGAACAACUCGAAUUUAAAAUUCGAAAGUACCAUUGUUUAAAACUCAUCUACUGACCUUAAACCUAUGUAAUUGUCGUUUCUCUUUGAAAUAAGGAGUCCUCUCUAAAUAAACAGUUGUCAUUUUAUAAAUGUUGUUGAUGAAAAUAGAAAUAAACUAUCAAAAGGGA